GACGAGCGCUGGCGGCGUGCCUAAUACAUGCAAGUUGAGCGCUGAAGGUUGGUACUUGUACCAACUGGAUGAGCAGCGAACGGGUGAGUAACGCGUGGGGAAUCUGCCUUUGAGCGGGGGACAACAUUUGGAAACGAAUGCUAAUACCGCAUAAAAACUUUAAACACAAGUUUUAAGUUUGAAAGAUGCAAUUGCAUCACUCAAAGAUGAUCCCGCGUUGUAUUAGCUAGUUGGUGAGGUAAAGGCUCACCAAGGCGAUGAUACAUAGCCGACCUGAGAGGGUGAUCGGCCACAGUGGGACUGAGACACGGCCCAAACUCCUACGGGAGGCAGCAGUAGGGAAUCUUCGGCAAUGGACGAAAGUCUGACCGAGCAACGCCGCGUGAGUGAAGAAGGUUUUCGGAUCGUAAAACUCUGUUGGUAGAGAAGAACGUUGGUGAGAGUGGAAAGCUCAUCAAGUGACGGUAACUACCCAGAAAGGGACGGCUAACUACGUG
rnacentral:rRNA from 1 species